UUCCUCUGGAUGAAAGUGCUAAUAGUUGAGGCUGUAGUCACCAACAUUGCUAUUGUGACUGAUUCUCUUCAGCUUUGAUUGGAUUUGUAUGGCCAGAUUUUCUUAUCGCUACUAUUUAUGUAUUUGAUCUAAUGGUAAAUUCUUAUUCAACUGAACAUAAAAUGUACUUGCUUAUCCAGAAGCUUUACAUCCAUAGAAAGGAAUGGUAAUUUGCUAAUUAUUCUUAUUUUUAACACUCUUUAUGAGUUCAGCCAUUUAAUUAUUUUUUUCUUUUAAUCUGUGCAAUUAACUAAAAUAUAAUAACAGGAGUAAUCACUGUAGGAACACUUGGAGAACCAGGACAGAGCUGUGCAGGAUAAUUAUAAAGGAAAACACCUAAAUCUGGAGUUACAAAGCAGCUGAAAAUAAUGAAAGGUUUUACAGGAAGCCCUCAGCAGCAGCAAGGGCUGCAACUACAACUUUUCAGGGAAACAGGAGGUGGGAAAAGGGGAAGAAAAACAGGGACCCCUCUACAGUCACCUACCAGUGUUGAAGAUCAUGGCAUGCCAGUGGAUGACGGUCAAUUCAAUCUACUAACAGAAAAGCUAGGGGUAGCAGAUGGAGGGUUGAGUUAUCUGGAUUUUGUCACGACAUUGGAAGACUUCCUGCAUAAAAUUUGGAUGCCACCAAAAUCAAUGGAAGUUUUGCAGCUUCAAGGCCUGUAUUAACUUCUGUAUUAUGCUUCUGUUAUUUUUGUCAGAGGUGUGGUUUUACUAUUUUCCACACUGCUACUAUUAUUUUCUGAUGUCAUUAUUUCUUUUUUAGAUCUAAGACAAGGGGGAGAGCUGACUUGUGGCUGGCUGACAUAAUAUUCAGACUUUUCUUCAUUCAGACCUUGAAGUUUAGAAGUUUGUGAUUACAGCUGACUAAACAUCUGUCCAUCAAUAUAACGUGCUUUCAUCCAGUAGCCUAAUAAAUGACAUUUGAAGCAGAUUGGUCUGGGUGAA
rnacentral:lncRNA from 1 species